AGAAAUGGUGUCUCAUCUAGUGAGAUGAGUAUUUGUAUAUAACUAGAGUAUCUCUAUAUUGAGACAGAGAAAUGGUGUCUCAUCUAGUGAGAUGAGUAUUUGUAUAUAACUAGAGUAUCUCUAUAUGGAGACAGAGAAAUGGUGUCUCAUCUAGUGAGGUGAGUAUUUGUAUAUAACCAGACUAUCUCUAUAUUGAGACAGAGAAAUGGUGUCUCAUCUAGUGAGGUGAGUAUAUGUAUAUAAUCAGACUAUCUAAGUAUUAAGGCUUCCUCACUUGUUUCUGGUGCCUAUUUAGGUAAUGAUAAACAUAUCUCUUCCUCUAUAUUCUUGUGUCAUUCUAUUGAAUUGAGUAUUCAUGUUAUACAGUGUUCAACUUCCCCAUAGUUACUACAACUUAGGUUUAUCAAAGGACUGAACAUUUACUCCCACUGUUGAGGGUUAAAGUAUGACUUAAGUUUGUACUUCAGAACAGAAUUUGUUGAAGGUAUUAUAGUUAAAAUCAUAUAAAGAUUGCGUAUUUGCUAUUCUCUGUCAGACUUUGGCAUCAAAAUUCAUGGCCAUCUGUUGGUUAUGUACAUAGACAUGUAGUAAUAUUUGUGAUUUUUCUUGUCAGGCAGUCACACCAUCAAACAACUGGCUAGUGAGAGAAAAGUUUUGUUCUCUAUGGUUCUGAGUUAACAGCCUCAGUGUUCUCUUGGCGGAUCACCGAGGAAACUUCCCAAACAUCAGGUCUACCAACACUGUAUUCUUGUCUCAGUGAUGUUAAAUCUUGUAUGGAGAGACAUUCUCCAUAGGAAUUUGAUCGCAUCAUGAAGCUUCGAUUGAGAGGAUACAUAUAAUAAAGGCCGUUAAAGCCCAUGGGCCUCUUGUUGACUAAAGAUGCUAAAGAAAAUACUUUGCCUAUUCCUGGUAGACUACCUGAUUACAUGUCAGAAAAGGUGCUUCCUCUUACCUCAGAUACAACUGCCUUGGACAUUUUUGAGAAGGAUGACACCCUGGUCUGUUGACGUGAAGUUUCGAAGUCUUUGGCUGUUGACAUGAAGUUUCGACGAGUAAUCUGCCCUGUUCAGUCAAUGGAGCUAUCCAUUACUCCUGGGAUUUUGCACAGCAAGUUCAUUUUCCCCAUCAUGCUCAGCAGGUUGGUCCCAUCUUCUUUAAGACCUCUCAAUCUGCUCAGAGGGAUCAGGAAAGUAACAUUUCUACUUGGUGGAUGAGGCUGAAAACUCUGGAACAGGGAAGGGAGCUAACUCGGUUGUCAGCAUGGUCCAUCACUGUUUUCAGCAUCAUGGACAUGGAGAAAGGAUUGCCAACAUCUAUUUUGAUAACUGGACAGAAUAAUAAAAACAUUGUGUUGUGGUAUGCCCUUUGGAGAGUCUUAGUUGAAUCAACGACUAGGACAGGGGUUAUAUCAGGUUGACCAUGGCAGGUUCAGCACUAAAUCUGUAGAGGAAAGGUCAGCUGAGGACCAGGCUGGGCACAUGUCUAUGAGGUGGAGAGAAUGGCUGCCUUACUUCACCUGCAGAAAGAAACGUGGAAAUUCAAGAAAAUGCGGUGAUCUGUGGCCAAUUAUCUCCCUUACAUUGAUUGAUGACUGAGAUCACAAUUAUGUAUAGGGUAUCAGCUAUUGUAUCCAGAGACACAACAUUCCCGACUACCACCACGGGGAGCUCCCUCUUUAGGUGAUCCUGAAGUUGAUUGUCUCCCCUACUUUGCUGGAUGACAGGAUCUAGCUGCCCUCUCCUGUAGUCGGACUUGUGAGCAGAUUUGGAUGUUUUCACACGAUCUUUGUGAUGUGCUUCCAGUAAUGAAAAAGUUCUCUUCUUCACUUCAGGAGCUCCGAUACCAACAUCUGGUCAUCUGGUGUCAUCUGAAGAUGAUGUAUCUGUUGGAAUUGAGGGAGAAUGAACACACCGACCAUGUCGCUGUCAUCUCCAGAGCACACCGAGGUGUGCCGACUGCACUUGGAACAUUCACAUGAAUAGCACGACACAAUGGCAUCAGUCUCCGAGUCUGAGGAGGAAGUAAGUGAUGGGUGUAGUAUACAGGGUCUAUCUCCGAUGUCCACUGCUACAUGAGAUCGAGUUUCCGGUCUUGGUGUUGUCACCAGCUGUAGUUCCUUUGUGGCAGUCAGUCUUCUGGUCAGAACAGGUGUCACAUGGACUGACUGUACAGGUUGCACUGGCCUUAUCCAACCGAUGGAUACCCAUGUCAACAAGGUGUUUAAGCAGAGAAUGCAACAACAUUGGGCAACCUGGUUUCAGUCAGCACAGUGGAACAAGCGCAGGAAUCUGAUUCAACAAACGAGGCAGAACGUCAUUGACUGGGUUAGCAUCGUGUGGGAGAGUGUGACGGAGACUGCCAUGAUCGGCGCCUUCCUUUCAUAUGGCCUGUCUAACGCUUUGUCCUGUUCUGAGGACAACUUGAUGUCCCAACGCCUACAUCAGUGACAUCAACAGUAUAACGAUGUUAGAGACAGAGACCUUCAGGAGGAGUUGUUGGCUGCACGAGCUAAUGUUAUCCUGAUCGACAGUGAUGAGACAAUGGUUUGAUCCCAAUGACUAGGUAGGAAUCAUGUCUAGUGUGUGAACUCUGGUUUUGAACUGUGAUUAUUUGAUUGGAUAAUAUUGAAUAAUGUUGGACGGUACUGGACAUUGCCUGUUAGUGCUUUAUUUAUUGUUUUCCAAUAAUAAUGUGAUA